UACGUAGGGGGCAAGCGUUGUCCGGAAUCAUUGGGCGUAAAGAGCGUGUAGGCGGCCAGAUAAGUCCGCUGUGAAAUCUCGAGGCUCAACUUCGAGCUGUCGGUGGAAACUGUCUGGCUAGAGUCCGGAAGAGGAGAAUGGAAUUCCUGGUGUAGCAGUGAAAUGCGUAGAGAUCGUAAGGAAGACCAGUGGCGAAGGCGGGUCUCUGGACAGUUCCUGACGCUGAGGCACGAAGGCCAGGGAGCAAACGGG
rnacentral:rRNA from 1 species